UAUGAAUGAAUAGAUUACUGGGGGAAUCGUCUGAACAAGGCCUGCGCUUAAUUGCGCGGCCAGUUCUUGAUUCUCUGCUAUCAGUUUUCUAUUUCUCAUCCUAAACACAAUGGAGUUUUUUCUCUAUGAACUACUUCCCUGGAGAGCUCGUCUCUCCAGUGGACAUAAACACAAACAAUAUUUUGUAUUAUGAAAAACUAUUAUACUAUAAAAUUUAAUAUUCAAAACUUUCAACAACGGAUCUCUUGGUUCUCGCAUCGAUGAAGAACGCAGCGAAUUGCGAUAUGUAUUGUGAAUUGCAGAUUUUCGUGAAUCAUCAAAUCUUUGAACGCACAUUGCGCCCUCUGGUAUUCCAGGGGGCAUGCCUGUUUGAGCGUCAUUUCUCUCUCAAACCUUUGGGUUUGGUAGUGAGUGAUACUCGUCUCGGGUUAACUUGAAAGUGGCUAGCCGUUGCCAUCUGCGUGAGCAGGGCUGCGUGUCAAGUCUAUGGACUCGACUCUUGCACAUCUACGUCUUAGGUUUGCGCCAAUUCGUGGUAAGCUUGGGUCAUAGAGACUCAUAGGUGUUAUAAAGACUCGCUGGUGUUUGUCUCCUUGAGGCAUACGGCUUUAACCAAAACUCUCAAAGUUUGACCUCAAAUCAGGUAGGAGUACCCGCUGAACU
rnacentral:rRNA from 1 species